rnacentral:rRNA from 1 species
GACGAACGCUGGCGGCGUGCUUAACACAUGCAAGUCGAACGGAAAGGCCCUGCUUUUGUGGGGUGCUCGAGUGGCGAACGGGUGAGUAACACGUGAGUAACCUGCCCUUGACUUUGGGAUAACUUCAGGAAACUGGGGCUAAUACCGGAUAGGAGCUCCUGCUGCAUGGUGGGGGUUGGAAAGUUUCGGCGGUUGGGGAUGGACUCGCGGCGUAUCAGCUUGUUUGUGGGGUAGUGGCUUACCAAGGCUUUGACGGGUAGCCGGCCUGAGAGGGUGACCGGCCACAUUGGGACUGAGAGACGGCCCAGACGCCUACGGGAGGCAGCAGGGGGGAAUAUUGCACAAUGGGCGGAAGCCUGAUGCAGCAACGCCGCGUGCGGGAUGACGGCCUUCGGGUUGUAAACCGCUUUCGCCUGUGACGAAGCGUGAGUGACGGUAAUGGGUAAAGAAGCACCGGCUAACUACGUG